UGGAGGUGGCGCUGCAGGCGUGUGAUGCCGUGGACUGGGUCUACAAGGGAGAGGGCGCGGCGAAUCUCAUCCUCAGCUACACCGGCUCCUCGCCCUCCAUGCUUGGCAAGGUACUGCGGGCCAAGAAGGUCCUAAAUGACAAGGCACAACCAGCACCAAACUGUGUAAACUUCUCAAGCUACGAGCAGCUCGUGUGGGGUGACAUCCCAGAAUUGAUCGAGUCUGUCAAGCAAGGCCGUCUUCAGGGAGCUCUGCAACAUGCUGGAUCCAGGGAAGCCGGUCUUCAACCCCAAGAAAGGCAA